UGGGUCAGACAAGUUACAGGAACUGUGGAUUGGUUGGAUGGGGAUCCACCUAGCAACACCACCACACUAAUGCUGGAUUGGGAAAUUUGCCCUACAGGAGUUUGUCUUGAUUAAAGGCUUCAGUCUGUCUUUGCAACACAAACAUAGGAGCCCCCAUGCUGCUCUCUGAAAUUUACAGCGUAUUUUCUUUUAACUCAAGCAUAUUGAAGCAGAACAGAAGAAAGGAUCAAAGGUUCUUGUGCCUGCUUACAGUUCAUCUGCUGCAUUCCUACUUGAGGGUCCCCAGGCUGCAGCUUGCUUAGGUCUGGAAUUGCCAUCCAGCAUGUGGCUGCCCUCACUUGCUCCAAUCCAUGUAUAUACAACUGCAGUGUGAGGUUAAAAGUGUUGGGGCUAAAGUCAAGGUGGUGAAGGACCUCCUUGGCAGAACAAAGUCACAGCACCCUCAGGAGCGCAAUGGCAUGUGGUGAGGAGCUGUGGACAGGACCAGGAGAAGAGGCCAGGGCUGGAGCAAGUCUGUAUCCUGCUGCAGCCCCGUUGCCCCCACGCUGUGGCCUGUUGCAUCCUAUAGGAAGCAGAGUGGUGCUUGUGCUACUUCAAG